GCCCCAUUAGCACAGUCGGCCAGUGCAUCGGUCUUAUGAGCCGAAGGUCACGGGUUCAAGUCCCGUAUGGGGCA
rfam:Guillardia theta CCMP2712 unplaced genomic scaffold GTITHscaffold_99, whole genome shotgun sequence.